UUAGUGGCGGACGGGUGAGUAACGCGUGGGUAACCUGCCGUAUACAGGGGGAUAACACUUAGAAAUAGGUGCUAAAACCGCAUAAGCGCACAGCGCCGCAUGGCGCAGUGUGAAAAACUCCGGUGGUAUACGAUGGACCCGCGUCUGAUUAGCCAGUUGGCAGGGUAACGGCCUACCAAAGCGACGAUCAGUAGCCGGCCUGAGAGGGUGGACGGCCACAUUGGGACUGAGACACGGCCCAAACUCCUACGGAAGGCAGCAG
rnacentral:rRNA from 1 species